CAGUCAAAGGAGAAAAUGUUGUUCCGUGGCCCAGCAGUCCUGCAAGGCCUCUCGUGAUUAACUGCAUGAAGAAUUUCUUUCCAUGGCUGGGUGGGAGGCAGAAACCCACCGGGUGUGGUUUCUUGGUGGGUAUGUCUUGUAUUUCCCAGAGGCACACCAAGGGAACGGGUAUUGCUGCAUUAGUGCUGCUGCAGCUCCUGCAGCUGCCUGGUGAGAUCCAGGGCCCAGACAUUCCUGCUGCUUCUUUUGGGUCUGGAAAGAGGUUUUCUGGGAAAGAAAGGUUUUCUGGUGGCUGGCAAGGCCAGACGAGCUGGUCAGCCUACAGGUAAUCUCUGCUUCCAUGGCCAACAGGUGAGUAAUUGCAGUCUGGGGUGGGAUUUUCUGCUGCUGGAAACCUUCUUCUCAUCUUUACAUUCCUACUUCUGCCAUUUCCGCUGCCUCAGCCCUUCCUUUUUUCUUUCUGUCAUUCAAUGCCUUUCUUGCCUUGUUGGUAGUUCCCAUUAAAAAAAAAAAUCUGGAAAAGGUAGUCAAAUGAGAAACAGGGUUAUUUAUUUUCUCAGUUUCCAAGUUUUUUUUUAUGUGUGUGUUCUUUUUAACCUUUGCAAAUUCUCUAAGAAUGGAAGGAAGGAAAAUAAGCAAACAAAAACAAGAUGAAAUCAGGAAAUCAGAAAAAAAUCCUGAAAUUAAAUAAAGCAGCCAUGUCAAAUUUUUACUAGAACAACAGAACAUUAAAAUGGCACAGAACAUUCUCAUUUCCUUCUGUAAUUGUUUGGGAGAGUUUUAAAAGGCUGUAAUUUUUACUAUUCCUACUAGAUUUCCCUUGGUAAAGCCCUUGCACCAGUGGAUGUCAGUACCUCCCAGAGGGUGUGUGUCUGUGGGAUGAGCGGAUUGCAUUCGUUUUUCUUUGCAAAAGAGUGGGGUUUGGUGUGGCCAAUGUGCAAGAGAAAAAAAGAAGUGUAGCUGAUGCCAAGGACAGAAAAGAUUACCUGCCCACGCAUUGAUUUCUCUGAUGAUGCCAUGUUUUGACUUUGGGAUGCAAACUUCUUUGCUUACGAUUGUGUGUCUGCCUGUGAGAGCCCUGCUACUUCUUUAGUUGGGAAACAAAUGGAGAAACAAUGAAAAACAGAAGAAAAAAAUGGAAAUCUGUGUGACUCAGCCAAUGUGGGUUAACUUUACAGAGAAAGGUUCCCCUGAAGCACAAUUUCCUUCUGGGUUAAAGGCUGAAGUGGUAAAGCUAAGUAGUUUCUAGGUUUCUGUACGGCCCCCGCUUGAGUAAAAUGUAGCAUUAUGAGGAAAAAGUAAUGGUAAAAUUGGUGCAGUGCAUAUAGCUUGGCUGUACGUAGCCUGAUAGUAUCUGAACAGUAACUGCUGUUGGAGCAUGUUAUCUAAAGGACAAUGUCCAACAGGUUUCUGGAAGACCUGUGGCCUGUCUAUAACCGUGAUUUGGAACCAACCUUGAAGUGCUGGAGAUAGCCCAGAUGGUGCGUAGCGGACAAGGCCAAUAGGUUACGCAGCAGCUCCCUAAUCCCUGCACAGGGAAUGCAGGAAAGCACAGCCAGCCAUGAGGUGAUCCCCUCCGUACAGUGCUGGCGAGACCACGACCACGGCCGUCUUCAGCACCCAUAAUUUAAGUAGCUGCCGAGGCCUGACAAGUCCAGCGAGAUGAUUUACGGUCGCGCUGCCUAGCACACCCAGGGGAGGCCUGAGGGGAGGUUUGUGCUGUAGCCAGAGCAGAUGUUUUCUGUAAUUUCUGAUUUGCAAACCACCACAAUUUUCCAGGGGAGCUGCAAACCCAGGACAGCGGCUGUUGAGCUCAUAGGCUUGCUUUGUUUAAUUACCAUUCACAGACUGUUUAACGGGGGCCUAGAGACGCCAGGAACCACCAAGAGCCAGAGAUUGGCUACCACCGAAUGCCUCUGCAUGAAGAAGACGUGGUUUUCCCCGGUGGACAAAAUCACUCCUGAGCUGUCUGGUGAGAUGCUGUGGCCAAGCAGCCCGUAGCAGCCAUGGCCAGCCCAUGUUUCUGAGUGGCAAGAGGGCUCCCUCGCAGCACAGCAACACACCCACCCACAUGGAUGCCCAUGAGUACUUCCAGCUCUGCUGCCAGCACUUCAAGAUGGGGAACCAUUUCCACUUGUCCAUUUGGCUACAAUGCCUCCAAAGAACUGUGCGCUGAGGGCUGAUGUCUCACCUUCUCCUGUGACAGACUACCCCUCCAUGAGGACCAUUACAGGAGCUCCUGCGAGGUUCCUGCCCCUGCUCCACAUGAGACAUGCAAGAGAUGGAUGACCUUCUCCUGGCCAGGAGAGCUUCCUCACUGAGAACCUCAACUAUGGUGUUCAUACAUCAGCCCUGAGGGCAACAAACUGGCUUACUCCAGAAGGAGCCUACAGUGGAGAAGAUGCCCAGGAGGGCCUGGGGGUGAAACAGAGCAACCCAAUUGGGCAUAGAGGAACCACACCUGCACAGGAGCACGUACAGCUUGUAUAGACUACAGGGAUCAGCCUCUGUGAGUACACCAUAGGGUUAAAAGUGCAAAGAACAACAGCAAAAACGUGUUUUUAAGUAAACUAUAGACUACAUAAUAGCCCGGAGUCCAAUCAUUUGCAGUGGUUAAAUUAUUACUAAUUUUAUAAAUAUUUUAUGAGUACUUCAGAGUCUUUCUUUUCCGCACACUCCUCUAGAAAUUGAUCAUUUGGCCUGGAACAUGAUUGUAAAAAGCAGUCGGUUCCUGAAUAGAGUCAAGCCUAUUCCUUGUAUGAGUGCUGGCAGAGACCUGCAACUCAUGUCUGCCAGAAAAGCUGACAGGAGAUGGACCCAAGCUGUCCUCUCAUCUCUUUUUUUGAGACCAGAGAGGCAGCUGCUGCUUUGGGACUUUCCAGCUCACAUCCAAAGUCUGUGAGGAAACAUCGGGCUACACCUGGAGAGAGGGCCCUUUAUCUCAGCAGUGCAAGACCCAGCCUUACAAUAUUUGACAUGGGCCUCCAAAUUCAGAGGAUAUAAAAAUACCAAAUGUUGAGUGGGUUUAACUUGCCUUUACUUGCCUUCUGGCUCCUGAGCUGUUAGGAUUUAUAGACAGUCCUUUUUCUCUCCACAACAUUGCUCCAGACACAUGGUACGAUGUCAGCACUGGCCAGGGGAAAUGAUUUUAUCUGUAUAGAGAUGGGACUGAUUCGGGUGCUUUUGCUUAGAAAUAUUAGGGCAUAUUUAGAGAGUAUGCUUGAAGUUUAUAAAGAAAAAUCAUCAUAUUUUCAUUUUAUAGUCAAUGAGUAGUCAGAACUUUCCCUUUUUAUGUUUGAUUCUCUUGGGUAUAUCUAUUAACGAAUGAUGCUAUCUCCCUCGUACUCCCUAUCCCUGGAAUGAAUGGUGAAUAUCAUGCACUGUUUUUCCAAGGAUGAUACAUUCUUGUGAGGCUUUCACCUGUUCCACGAUCCUACUCAGAAAAAGUUCGUUCUUUCUUCUUUUUUUUUUUUUUAAGUCUAGGUGCCUCUGGUUGUUCAGAAAUCACUCGCACUCAAGCAAGCUGAGAAGGCUGUCAUUAUUUAGUGUUUGAACGCUAAAACAUGGCCAGGGCCAACCAUGUAGCUAACAAUGAGAAGCAGUUAAUGACAGGUCAGUGAUGGGAUAUGACUAAUGAAAGGAGAAGGGCUGCAGAACUGCAAAGUUACUGAGUGCAGUGGGUGGCCGACAAAGACUCUGUAAGCCCUUGUAACCUCAAGCAUACAGCCACCUUUUUGCCUUCUGUGGUGGUUUUACCCAGCCGAGCUUCACCACAACCGCACUCUCACUCCCCCUCCUCAAAGGGAAAGGGGAGAAUA